GAACCAGCAACUUGGAGGAAUGUAUAGCAAUAGCUACUUGCAUCAUUAUAAAAAUGAUGCAGGAUCGACUAUGUCGAAUAAAAUUCUAGGUAGAAUUAUGAUAAUGACAUUGUCUGCCUAUGUGUCUUGACCAAAUUACGUGCCAGCAGUCGCGGUAAUACGUAGAAGACUAGUGUUAUUCAUGUUUAAUCGGUUUAAAGGGUACCUAGACGGUAGAUCAAGCCUAAAAUUAAAUGAAGGGACUAAUUUACUAGAGUUACUUAUGAGGGGGUAUUAAAGUACUGCUGGUGUAGAGAUGAAAUUCUGUCAUACCUCUUUUCAAUAGAAAAAUAACGGCACAGGUAUAGGCGAAAGCAUCCCCUUAUGUGAUAACUGACGUUGANGGACGAAGGCUUUGUGUAGCGAACAGGAUUAGAUACCCCAGUAGUCAAAGCAGAAAAUGAUGAAUGUCAUAGAUUAGAUAUAUAAGUUUAUUCUAUAAAUGAAAGUGUAAGCAUUCCACCUCAAGAGUAAUUUGGCAACAUUGGAACUGAAAUCAUUAGACCGUUUCUGAAACCAGUAGUGAAGUAUGUUGUUUAAUUUGAUGAUCCGCAAAAAACCUUACCACAAUUUGAAUAUUUAUAUCUUUUAUUGUUUUCUUUUUAAUUUACUUCGGACAUGAAACAAUAACAGUAGAAAAAGAAAAAAGAGGCAAUAUGAUAUAUUUACAAGCGUUGCACGGCUGUCUUCAGUUAAUGUCGCGAGACUCUGGUUAGUUCCAUUAAAUUAACGUAAACCCUUACUUUAUUUUUAUAUAGAGUAGUUCCCCGCUAUAUUGGAUAUGAU
rnacentral:rRNA from 1 species